AGUUGUGAGGUGGCUAAGAAGUCAACUGCUGACUAUCAAAAGAGGAACCAUCCAAGUUCAUGAAUCCUUCUUUCUUCUUUUAGGAACCCUCAAUAGCAGAUGUAGAAGUGGCAUACCAGAUCAAGAAUCUUGAGAAAUGUAAUUUUCUUGUGUCUGUAUUGAUGGAAGAAAGGAUAUGAGUGGGAAAAGAAUUUCCUAGUCAUAAUCGCGGAAGCUGGUGAAAUGACAACCUGUGAUUUUCAGACUAUAUACAACUGUUAUAUAAACACUGAGCAGGUGGUUCUCAGUCUCAAGGCUAAAAACGAAACAAUCAAAUUGUUAUUGAUAGAGAAAAGAGAAAUGAAAAGGCCUAGAAUGUAAUGUGGAACAAAUACAUACAUAAAUGCUUUAUCUACUUGCGCUAUAUUUAUGAGCUUGUAUUGUAAGCAAUUUCUGAAUACGGGGGCAAAAUGUUUGGAUGACUGAGAGUUAACACUAUUUCUGAUGCAAAGCCUGACACUGGAGCUUGAGUUCUCUUUGACCUUCAUUUGUGUAAGACCAUGGAAAGCAAAAGAAGUACAUCCUGAGAUAACAAUGGUAUUGAUUAUUAGAAGUUGUGGAUCCAGAAGUAGACAAAACAGGCUCCAAACCAAAAUUUAAAGGGUUUGAGUCUAACUCAUUACCGGGGUAAUUUUCAAGCAGAGGUUAAGCAUGAUUGUUGAUUGUUAAUUAAUUAAUCCUGAUAAAACACAAAUAUCACUUUCCCCACUUACACAGAUCCAGUCAAUCUAUCCAUACACAAAUGCAGCUGAUAACCAAAGAAGAUUCUCUGCAAAAUUCUCCUAGUAGCCUUCAAAUAAAGGACAUUUGACAAGUGGAGGCUGGAAUACAUUUGUUAGAUUUUUAUAUUGCUUAAAAUCUACCUGUUUAUAAAAGUGGCUAUUAAAACUAGAGCUUCAUAAUUU